AUUGAACGCUGGCGGCAGGCCUAACACAUGCAAGUCGCGCGAGCGGCGGACGGGUGAGUAAUGUAUGGGGAUCUGCGCGAUAGAGGGGGAUAACUACUGGAAACGGUGGCUAAUACCGCAUACUAUCGGAGGAACCCAUAUGGGAUUAGCUAGUAGGUGGGGUAAAGGCUCACCUAGGCGACGAUCUCUAGCUGGUCUGAGAGGAUGACCAGCCACACUGGAACUGAUACACGGUCCCGACUCCGUCGGGAUGCAGCAUUGGGGAAUAUUUCACCAUGUGCGCAAGCCUUAUGCAGCCAUGCCGCGUGUAUGAAGAAGGCCUUCGGGUUGUAAAGUACUUUCAGCGAGGAGGCGUUACUCGCAGAAGAAGCACCGGCUAACUCCGUGCCAGCAGCCGCGGUAAUUC
rnacentral:rRNA from 1 species